GCCCCGGCCCAUACACAGUGUCUGAUUGCAGUAAAUUGUGGUGCUGUUUUUAGUACACAAACAAACCUUACUGUGUGUCUGGCUGCUCCAUUCGCUGAGCAGAUUUGUUGAGGACAGCGGAGAGGCAGGGGAGUCUAUCGGUGCAUAUUAAGGCUUUUAUGUAAGCAGUUUCCUCUGUCAGUAGAGCCUGAGAGUAGAGUCACACCAGCACGCUCCACUGGGCCCCGUGAAAAGAUGCCAGGAUGAUGAUGCCAAAAUGGCAACCAUCUGAUGUCCGCUGAGGUCUGUGCAGACUGUGUGACAGCGAAGGCGGACUGCGUCGAAGUGCCAUCAGUAACAAAGAGAGCCUUAUGGCCUGGGCCCCAACGGUCUACCGUGCGCCACAACCCCUGCAACCCCCGUCGGCCAUCAGCACAUCAGAGAGGGAGACAGACAGCAGAGGAAAGGCCGGACCUCAUCUCACCUCUCAAAGAGCUUCGUGACCCUGUUGCUCCCAGCUGCAUUCAUGCCGCCUGACACCAAGUUCAAACUGCUGGACUGUAUGGGGUUGACAGGGCCCUCCAGGCUCCACCAGUACCCGCCACCUGUCCACCUUCCAGAAGAUGAAGGGUCAGACAAAGACACAGCGGACAUCCAUAAGUCUGGAAGGCAAAAUAAAAUCCUAAGAGGCUGCUAUGAGCACUGAGCUAAAUUGAUUUUUCACACUUUUUUUACAAGCUAGGGAUCAUUCUCUUUGCUUUAGGCCUGUUUACACAUCAGUUUUGUAUUACAUAUUUACAAACUGCAAGUCAUUUAGAGCAAACACAAAUUUUUAUCACAUGAUAGAAUGGGUAACUAAGCAAAAGAAGUAGCAGAAUGCAGCUAUGCAGCCAGUACUGUAUCAUAACUACACCUUGGAUUCCUGCCUCUCUUUAUUGUAAACUUUCAUUGAGGUUGAUUAAAGGUUCACA